rnacentral:lncRNA from 1 species
UCGACGGUGACCUCGAAAACGACCUUGGUUAGAAACUCAAUUGUUGGGUUGCCUAAAAGCUGCUGUUUUUUGCAUUUUCCUGCUCAUUUUAGUGGUUAAAACUUGGAGUUCAUGGGCUAAGGAUGGAGUUUAAGUUGUAGCUCUUUUGUGAUAAUAGAAGCUGGUUUUUUCGGGCUAUCUCUCUGUCUUUUGGCGAGGGAUUUGAGAUCAUUUUUGGACUAUUCUUUGCUGGGUCUUAGGGAUGUUUAUAGGGCUGAAAUUAGAGGUGGAUGUUAAUGGAGGUUUUGUGA